rnacentral:misc_RNA from 1 species
UCGUACAAUCGAGGUGCUUGGGGCUGUCGCUGACCCCCCAAAGGUUGUGCACGCCCGGAGCACUCUCUAAUAUAUCCAUCUCACCCCUUUGUGCAUUGCCGCGUGGGUCCAUCCCUUAAAGGGGACCUGCGUUUUUACAUACACACCCUUUGAAUGCAUGUGUAGAACGUCUUAUUAUAAUCAAUA